rnacentral:tRNA from 1 species
AAGCUUUGUACAGCACUAGCCUUUUAAGCUAGAGAAGGGGAACCCUCCCCCUCAGUGA